GUUUUCUAUUUCCAUGCCCUGCUUCCUUCAACAUCCAGAGCUUGAAACACCUCCAUCCUUCCUCUUCAUGCCAUGGCCUCCCUGCUCCUCUUCUGUGUGGCCUUUUGUCUCCUGGGAACAGGGUCCAUGGAUGCUAAUGUUACCCAGACCCCAAGGAAUAAGAUCGCAAAGACAGGAAAGAGGAUUAUGCUGGAAUGUUCUCAGACUAAGGGUCAUGAUCAAAUGUACUGGUAUCGACAAGACCCAGGACUGGGGCUACGGUUGAUCUAUUACUCCUUUGAUGUCCAAGAUAAAAACAAAGGAGAGAUCUCCGAUGGAUACAGUGUCUCUCGACAGGAACAGGCUAAAUUCUCCCUGUCCCUAGAGUCUGCCACCCCCAACCAGACAGCUCUUUACUUCUGUGCCACCAGUGAUUUGCACAGUGCUUCUUGGCCACCUGCUGUCUACACAGAAAGACAGACACAUGGGUGAGUUGUUUGCUCUGAAGGGUACCUGUGUGUGGGUUGUGGGAUGUGGGAUGUUUAGAGCUUUCAGUGGUCUCAGGCAGUGUGAACCUCAGUGUAAGCUAAGGGCCACUUUCGAUCAAUGUCCCUAAGCCAUGUGAUGACUUUGAAACCACAGGCUACACUAAAUCAAUCUCCCCUAUUUAAUUUUUCCUAGGGAGCUAGCCCAAUGGUGACCUUUCAGGAGA